rnacentral:lncRNA from 1 species
CCUCGUCAUGAGUUUUUCAUACCGCGGGGUAUAUGCUAGUGGGAAAUAAGCUUGUAUAAUGUAUAUACAUGCUGUAUAAGGAAUCCUACACUAUUUUUCAAACUCUUAAAUAAAAAUCCCUGAUUGGCAACCACUGUUAUACAUGCAAUUGCCGCUUUAGAAACCUAUUUAUAGUAGACAUCAAAAAGAAGAGAAAUGCUCUCUUCAGUCUUCAGUUAGACUACUUGUAUACCUACACCACAUUUAUUUUGCUUUCUAAGCAAUGGUUUGUAGUCGUCAUAAAAUCAAUUAAAUGUUUUGGUACAAUUGUAUGCAACACAAGUAUUACGAGUACAGAAUAAAAUGUAAACUCAGUGUUGAAAGAAAUUAUGAUGUAAAACAUGAACUUAACCAAAAAACUAUGAUUAGUUGUGGCUUAAUGACUAAAUUGAUGGUAGGCACAGUAACAGAGGGUGUUUGCUGUUUGUCAACAAAAACAAAAGCCAUGGGUGAAUAGAAGGGCUUGUUAUAAUUAAAAUGCGUGUUUGUCGACAUUUUUUUCUCAAUAUGCGGUCAUAAUUCAAACAAGUUCGUGCUUGUGUCAAUUUCUUUAAUCCAG